rnacentral:rRNA from 1 species
UACUCCUACGGGAGGCAGCAGUAGGGAAUCUUCGGCAAUGGGGGCAACCCUGACCGAGCAACGCCGCGUGAGUGAAGAAGGUUUUCGGAUCGUAAAGCUCUGUUGUAAGAGAAGAACGGAUGUGGGAGUGGAAAAUCCAUGUCGUGACGGUAUCUUACCAGAAAGGGACGGCUAACUACGUGCCAGCAGCCGCGGUAAU